GACGAACGCUGGCGGCGUGCCUAAUACAUGCAAGUAGAACGCUGAAGGAGGAGCUUGCUUCUCUGGAUGAGUUGCGAACGGGUGAGUAACGCGUAGGUAACCUGCCUGGUAGCGGGGGAUAACUAUUGGAAACGAUAGCUAAUACCGCAUAAGAGUAGAUGUCGCAUGACAUUUGCUUAAAAGGUGCAAUUGCAUCACUACCAGAUGGACCUGCGUUGUAUUAGCUAGUUGGUGAGGUAAUGGCUCACCAAGGCAACGAUACAUAGCCGACCUGAGAGGGGGAUCGGGCACACUGGGACUGAGACACGGCCCAGACUCCUACGGGAGGCAGCAGGAGGGAAUCUUCGGCAAAGGACGGAAGGCUGACCGAGCAACGCCGCGGGAGUGAAGAAGGGUUUCGGAUCGGAAAGCUCUGUUGUAAGGGAAGAACGAGUGUGAGAGUGGAAAGUUCACACUGUGACGGUAUCUUAUCAGAAAGGGACGGCUAACUACGUG
rnacentral:rRNA from 1 species